CUAAAUAUGUAAAAGUAAUUUUGCCCAAGCUAUUAUUAGUGACAAAAUUAUUUUCGUCGCUAUUCGGUUGUUGUGUCUUUUUAAAGUUAUAGUUUAUCUAGGGUACAAAUUUUGCUCGUUCAUAGCUAUUUCUGGGUUUUCUGAACAUGCCAUCAAACGGGUUUGACUGGUUUCUUCAAAAUGAAUUUUUUGGUGAGUUCAAGGUUACUUUUUUCUACUAUCUUUUGAUUUUAUAUACAUUUUUUAGUUCUACCACUUAUACAGAAUUUGAUGGCUUCUUUGAAUACUGCUUUAACCCUCUAAUUCUGGUAUUCUCUUCGUUAAUCUUUUGAUUCGGAGGAUUACAUAGUGGAUCCCAGCUAUUUUAGGAUUGAGUUAUAGUUGUUGUCUGAUUGUGUUGAAAUACUUUUUGAUUCUAGUAAUUUUGUUGAAUUUGACAACAACUUAAUGUUGCUUUAAUCUUCUGGAUUUGGUAUUCUGUUUGUUAAUUUAGAUCUUCGUUCAAUUCUAAGUUAGAUUUAGGCUAUGUGAUAUAUAUAGCUGAUAAAUUUAUACUUCCUCAUAUUCUUUUGAUUGGGUUCUACAUGUGCUGUAAGUUUUCUUUAAUUUUAUGUCUUUCAGUGAAUGCGGUAUUUGACAAGAGGGGUUGCUCUGAUGGUAAGCAACACCCAUUUCCAAUCGAGAGGUUAUGAGUUCGAGUCUCCCCAAGAGCAAGGUGGGAAGUUCUUGGAGGUAAGGAUGUCGGGAGUCUAUUUGAAACAGCCUCUCUAUCCCAGGGUAGGAUUAAGGUCUGCGUACAUUCUACCCUCCCCAGACUUCACUAAGUGGAAUUAUACUGGGUUGUUGUUUUUGUUGUGAAUGGAUCGGGUCACACGCCGCAAUAAUAUUAUAUAUAGGAGUAGGUGGUACGCCUACCACGCGAUAUGAUGAAAUAGGAGCAGGUGGUACGCCUACCACGAGAUAUAAUGAAAUGAAAGCGGGUGGUAUGCCUACCACGAGAUAUGAGAAAUGAGAUCGGGUUGCAUGCCUACAACGAGAUGUGAACCGAAAGCGAAAUCUUCCUUUAUUUUCCCAUAUCCGUGUUAGAGUUAAAUUGUUGAUUUCCUUAUUAUUCUCUUGAGGUUCUGUAUUAUUUGCUAUCCCCGGAGAAAAAUCCCCUCCCCAUCUUUAUCUUGUUUAUUUCCAUCUAUCUUUCCUUUGUAUAUAUAUAACUGCACAGGUUUAUGUGGAGUCCGGUCCUAGCCUCGUUACUACCUCCUCGGGUUUAGGCUAGGCACUUACCAGCACAUGGGGUAGGUUGCGUCGAUACUAAACUCUAAACUGUGUGCAGAUCCCGAAGCAACAUUUGGUCAUCAGUAGUAGAUCGAGACGAAGCAUGAUCCCCUCCCCAGCUUCAUUUUAUUUAUCAUGUCUAUCUUUCCGUUGUAUAUAUAUAACUGCCCAGGUUCUUCUGAGGUCUGCUUCUAACCUCGUCACUACCUCGCCGGGGUUAGGCCCAGCACUUACCAACACAUUGGGUCGGUUGUGCUGAUAUUAUACUCUAUUCUCUUUUGCACAGAUCCAAGUACCAGACAGCAGCAGUAGCCCGGAAGCUAGACUUUAGUCCACCGAGAUACCGAGGCAGCCUUGCAGGCGUCCGCAGGCCAAACGUCUUCUCUAUCUUAUAUUAUGUUCUAUUGUCUCAUAUAUUUGACACAAACAAUGUUAUCUUUUCUUCAAACUGUUGUAUGUAGUACUCUUAGAAGUCCGUGAAUAUGGUGACAGCAGAUUCUGGUUAGAGGUAUGUGUUGGUUUUAGGAUAUUUUGAAUUUAUAUUUUAUUUAAGACUUCCGCUAAAUUUUCUAUUCCGGUAUUAUUUAAUUGUUUAUUUUCUGCUAAUUUAAUUGGUUUUAUAAAAAUUUGAGAAUAAAAGAGUCUAAAGAUUUUAAGUUCAUGGCUUACCUAGCUUCUACGAGUAGGCGUAAUUACGACUCUCGAGGGUGGGAAAUCUGGAUCCUGACAGUUCACUAUAAAUUUCUUAAAAUGAAAGGGCAAAAACUAGAAGGGAGAAGCCAUAAUUAUGACUACUUCAUCCUAAUUUUUUUAUCUUACUUUUGAUUUUUUUGGAUUUCACGACAGAUAGGAAGGAAACUGAAGGAGAUACUACGAUGACAGGUUGCACAACCUGCUAAGAGCUACAUGUCUGAUAAUAGCGUUUUAUUUCUUGAUCAAGAAAUAUGUCAUGUUAUGAUGUCAUUGCAGCAGUAUAUUUUUUGUUUUUUCCCUAUUGUAGCCUACUUUAUGUUUCUAAAGAUCAUUGACAGAGACAUCUAUAAAUGGUGCUAGCUAUUGUUACAUAUAUCAAGGCUUGCCUCUAUGAAAAAUGCUUAUGUUUUGUCAUGAUGUAUAUGCAACUUUGUUAUAAGUCCAAUUCGUAACAAACUUAUGAUGAGGUCUUGAACCUCAAG
rnacentral:lncRNA from 1 species